GGCUCUUUAGUUUAAUGGUAAAACACCUGUUUCGUAAUCAGGAACUGUGGGUUCAAUUCCCGCAAGAGCCU
rfam:Enterocytozoon bieneusi H348 ctg01_30, whole genome shotgun sequence.